GGCUUAGAAGCAGCCAUCAUUUAAAGAAAGCGUAAUAGCUCACUGGUCGAGUCGGCCUGCGCGGAAGAUGUAACGGGGCUAAACCAUGCACCGAAGCUGCGGCAGCGACGCUGAUGCGUUGUUGGGUAGGGGAGCGUUCUGUAAGCCUGCGAAGGUGUGCUGUGAGGCAUGCUGGAGGUAUCAGAAGUGCGAAUGCUGACAUAAGUAACGAUAAAGCGGGUGAAAAGCCCGCUCGCCGGAAGACCAAGGGUUCCUGUCCAACGUUAAUCGGGGCAGGGUGAGUCGACCCCUAAGGCGAGGCCGAAAGGCGUAGUCGAUGGGAAACAGGUUAAUAUUCCUGUACUUGGUGUUACUGCGAAGGGGGGACGGAGAAGGCUAUGUUGGCCGGGCGACGGUUGUCCCGGUUUAAGCGUGUAGGCUGGUUUUCCAGGCAAAUCCGGAAAAUCAAGGCUGAGGCGUGAUGACGAGGCACUGCGGUGCUGAAGCAACAAAUGCCCUGCUUCCAGGAAAAGCCUCUAAGCAUCAGGUAACAUCAAAUCGUACCCCAAACCGACACAGGUGGUCAGGUAGAGAAUACCAAGGCGCUUGAGAGAACUCGGGUGAAGGAACUAGGCAAAAUGGUGCCGUAACUUCGGGAGAAGGCACGCUGAUAUGUAGGUGAAGUCCCUCGCGGAUGGAGCUGAAAUCAGUCGAAGAUACCAGCUGGCUGCAACUGUUUAUUAAAAACACAGCACUGUGCAAACACGAAAGUGGACGUAUACGGUGUGACGCCUGCCCGGUGCCGGAAGGUUAAUUGAUGGGGUUAGCGCAAGCGAAGCUCUUGAUCGAAGCCCCGGUAAACGGCGGCCGUAACUAUAACGGUCCUAAGGUAGCGAAAUUCCUUGUCGGGUAAGUUCCGACCUGCACGAAUGGCGUAAUGAUGGCCAGGCUGUCUCCACCCGAGACUCAGUGAAAUUGAACUCGCUGUGAAGAUGCAGUGUACCCGCGGCAAGACGGAAAGACCCCGUGAACCUUUACUAUAGCUUGACACUGAACAUUGAGCCUUGAUGUGUAGGAUAGGUGGGAGGCUUUGAAGUGUGGACGCCAGUCUGCAUGGAGCCGACCUUGAAAUACCACCCUUUAAUGUUUGAUGUUCUAACGUUGACCCGUAAUCCGGGUUGCGGACAGUGUCUGGUGGGUAGUUUGACUGGGGCGGUCUCCUCCUAAAGAGUAACGGAGGAGCACGAAGGUUGGCUAAUCCUGGUCGGACAUCAGGAGGUUAGUGCAAUGGCAUAAGCCAGCUUGACUGCGAGCGUGACGGCGCGAGCAGGUGCGAAAGCAGGUCAUAGUGAUCCGGUGGUUCUGAAUGGAAGGGCCAUCGCUCAACGGAUAAAAGGUACUCCGGGGAUAACAGGCUGAUACCGCCCAAGAGUUCAUAUCGACGGCGGUGUUUGGCACCUCGAUGUCGGCUCAUCACAUCCUGGGGCUGAAGUAGGUCCCAAGGGUAUGGCUGUUCGCCAUUUAAAGUGGUACGCGAGCUGGGUUUAGAACGUCGUGAGACAGUUCGGUCCCUAUCUGCCGUGGGCGCUGGAGAACUGAGGGGGGCUGCUCCUAGUACGAGAGGACCGGAGUGGACGCAUCACUGGUGUUCGGGUUGUCAUGCCAAUGGCACUGCCCGGUAGCUAAAUGCGGAAGAGAUAAGUGCUGAAAGCAUCUAAGCACGAAACUUGCC
rnacentral:rRNA from 1 species